ensembl:lncRNA
CUCCUUGCUGUUGGUUUCCUCCUUUGAGCAAGGACUUCUAGCGGCCUUAAGGCUGCGGUCAUGUCCAUCAUUGUCCCUGUUCUUCUAAGUCUUCUGAGAAAAAAUAAUCCUGUGCUUUGGAUCAACAAAGUGCCGUGGUGAUUAUCUAGUCGAACCUUCUUGUUUUAUAGUUGAAGGCAAUGAGGUCUAGAACUAUGAAGUGACCUCAGCACUCUGUAAGUCUAUAUGGGCUUAAUGGCCCAGGGUCCCCCAGCUGGUUAGUGGCUAAUCUCAGACUCAAAGUUUGUUGACUUCAAUUCCAGAGCCUUUUCCACUGCAGCAAGUGUCAACAUGUAAUCUGUCUUCAGAAUAUACAUCAGGCACACUGGAGCUCUUAAUUCAAUGGCUGUGUCCAUCCUUUCAGAGCAAGAGAGCCUUUCUGAAGAGACUAUCAGCUGGUAGAGUUGGUGACAAGUUGGAGAGCUCCUUUCCAUCCUGGCGCUCUGCAUG